rnacentral:rRNA from 1 species
UACGUAGGGUGCAAGCGUUGUCCGGAAUUAUUGGGCGUAAAGAGCUUGUAGGCGGUUUGUCGCGUCUGCUGUGAAAUUUCGGGGCUCAACCCCGAACUUGCAGUGGGUACGGGCAGACUAGAGUGUGGUAGGGGAGACUGGAAUUCCUGGUGUAGCGGUGAAAUGCGCAGAUAUCAGGAGGAACACCGAUGGCGAAGGCAGGUCUCUGGGCCAUAACUGACGCUGAGGGACGAAAGCUAGGGGAGCGAAUGGG